UACGAAGGGUGCUAGCGUUGUUCGGAAUUACUGGGCGUAAAGCGCGCGUAGGCGGCUUUUCAAGUCAGAGGUGAAAUCCCCAGGCUCAACCUGGGAAUUGCCUUUGAAACUGUAAAGCUUGAGUAUUGGAGGGGAGUGCGGAAUUGCUAAUGUAGAGGUGAAAUUCGUAGAUAUUAGCAGGAACACCGGUGGCGAAGGCGGCACUCUGGACAAUAACUGACGCUGAGGCGCGAAAGCGCGGGGAUCAAACAGG
rnacentral:rRNA from 1 species